GGGCAUGUAGUGUAGGGGUUAUCGCGCCUCAUUCGCAGAUUCCGGCAAUCAAAUUCCGGCAAUUCGGCUUGAGGAGGUCUCCGGUUCAAUUCCGGACUUGUCCA